UUUAGUAGACAGAAACCUCGGUGGAAGAUUACUAAUGAGAGUGGCGAACGGGUGAGUAACGCGUGAGCAACCUGCCUAUGACAGUGGGAUAGCCUCGGGAAACCGGGAUUAAUACCGCAUAAAAUCGUAGAAACACAUGUUUUAACGGUCAAAGAUUUAUCGGUCAUAGAUGGGCUCGCGUCUGAUUAGCUAGUUGGUGAGAUAACAGCCCACCAAGGCGACGAUCAGUAGCCGGUCUGAGAGGAUGAACGGCCACAUUGGAACUGAGACACGGUCCAAACUCCUACGGGAGGCAGCAGUGGGGAAUAUUGCACAAUGGGGGAAACCCUGAUGCAGCGACGCCGCGUGAACGAAGAAGGUAUUCGUAUCGUAAAGUUCUGUCCUAUGGGAAGAUAAUGACAGUACCAUAGAAGAAAGCUCCGGCUAAAUACGUGCCGGCAGCCGCGGUAAUACGUAUGGAGCGAGCGUUGUCCGGAAUUUAUUGGGCGUAAAGGGUACGCAGGCGGUUUAAUAAGUCGAAUGUUAAAGAUCGGGGCUCAACCCCGUAAAGCAUUGGAAACUGAUAAACUUGAGUAGUGGAGACCCAAAGUGGAAUUCCUAGUGUAGUGGUGAAAUACGUAGAUAUUAGGAGGAAUACCAGUAGCGAAGGCGACUUUCUGGACACAAACUGACGCUGAGGUACGAAAGCGUGGGGAGCAAACAGGAUUAGAUAUCCCUGGUAGUCCACGCCGUAAACGAUCCACUAGUGUUGGGGAUCAUACCUCGUGCCGAAGUUACACAUUAAGCA
rnacentral:rRNA from 1 species